GCUCAUCCAGUGUCGCGUCUGCUCUCGACCAGCAAGAACGACAUGACACAGUCGGAUUCUUCUCAACAGCCUUUAUUGCAGGAACGCCUCGAUCCUUCUACGGGGACCCCCGGCGCCCAGGGAGCCCUGCUUAUAUGCACCCCAGCACAGGAGAAGGCUCCGUGACCCCCUGGGAUUGGUCAGUCUGCCGGCACCCGCUCGGGAGGGGUUGGCGCCAAAUUCGAAUUGACGCCUGCGCAGUGGUGUUUAUGACAACGGCAACCGGAAACCGGCGCAGUCUUGGAGUUGGCUUUCCACAAUCCAGAUUUGUGUUCAAAUGCCUACUGUGUGCUCACCCAGGAAGAGCACUUAACGAAACACAUCCUCUUAUCCCAGUGGGACAACAUAAGGCGAGAUCUCCCCUCCCCCAACACGCUUUGGACACCUCUCUCUGCCAGGCAGAACUACACACUGCUCCGAUUCUCCUGCGGAUCAAAGGCAUCUCUUGCCACACUCCUGAUCAUCAGUGGUGGCAUCCGAGCACUGGAGGGAAGAUAACCCAAAGCCAUGGAGACAGGGUUCCCUCGACUUCCCUGGACGUUGGGGGCUUGCUGCACACUGCUGGUUCUCACAACUGA
rnacentral:lncRNA from 1 species